UACGUAGGGACCGAGCGUUGUCCGGAAUCAUUGGGCGUAAAGAGCGUGUAGGCGGCCAAGUAAGUCGUGCGUGAAAUCUCGGGGCUCAACCUCGAGCGGUCGUGGGAAACUGGUUGGCUAGAGUGCGGGAGAGGAGAGUGGAAUUCCUGGUGUAGCGGUGAAAUGCGCAGAUAUCAGGAAGAACACCCGUGGCGAAGGCGGCUCUCUAGAACGCAACUGACGCUGAGACGCGAAAGCGUGGGGAGCAAACAGG
rnacentral:rRNA from 1 species